UUACUGUUUAUUUUGGAAGGCUUAUACUUUUAAAAAUGAUUGCUUUAAUUAAAGUGGGUUUGGGGCGCCUGGGUGGCUCAGUGGGUUAAAGCCUCUCCCUU